rnacentral:pre_miRNA from 1 species
GCUGGUUGGCAUUCUGGGCCUGGUUCAUGCCAACUCUGUAGUUAACUAUACCAGGAUGUCAGCAUAAUU